AACGCUAGCGGCAGGCUUAACACAUGCAAGUCGAGGGGUAACAGGGAGCUUGCUCUGCUGACGACCGGCGCACGGGUGCGUAACGCGUAUGCAACCUACCUUCUACAGGGGGAUAGUCAAUAGAAAUGUUGAAUAAUACCCCAUACGAUCUUUGAGUGGCAUUACUUAAAGAGGAAAGCUUCGGCGGUAGAAGAUGGGCAUGCGUCCUAUUAGUUAGUUGGUGAGGUAACGGCUCACCAAGACUACGAUAGGUAGGGGCCCUGAGAGGGGGAUCCCCCACACUGGUACUGAGACACGGACCAGACUCCUACGGGAGGCAGCAGUGAGGAAUAUUGGACAAUGGAGGCAACUCUGAUCCAGCCAUGCCGCGUGCAGGAAGACUGCCCUAUGGGUUGUAAACUGCUUUUAUACAGGAAGAAACCUACUUACGUGUAAGUAGCUGACGGUACUGUAAGAAUAAGGAUCGGCUAA
rnacentral:rRNA from 1 species